rnacentral:rRNA from 1 species
AUUGAACGCUGGCGGCAGGCCUAACACAUGCAAGUCGAGCGGUAGCACAGAGAGCUUGCUCUCGGGUGACGAGCGGCGGACGGGUGAGUAAUGUCUGGGAAACUGCCUGAUGGAGGGGGAUAACUACUGGAAACGGUAGCUAAUACCGCAUAAUGUCGCAAGACCAAAGUGGGGGACCUUCGGGCCUCAUGCCAUCAGAUGUGCCCAGAUGGGAUUAGCUAGUAGGUGGGGUAACGGCUCACCUAGGCGACGAUCCCUAGCUGGUCUGAGAGGAUGACCAGCCACACUGGAACUGAGACACGGUCCAGACUCCUACGGGAGGCAGCAGUGGGGAAUAUUGCACAAUGGGCGCAAGCCUGAUGCAGCCAUGCCGCGUGUGUGAAGAAGGCCUUCGGGUUGUAAAGCACUUUCAGCGGGGAGGAAGGCGUUAAGGUUAAUAACCUUGGCGAUUGACGUUACCCGCAGAAGAAGCACCGGCUAACUCCGUGCCAGCAGCCGCGGUAAUACGGAGGGUGCAAGCGUUAAUCGGAAUUACUGGGCGUAAAGCGCACGCAGGCGGUCUGUCAAGUCGGAUGUGAAAUCCCCGGGCUCAACCUGGGAACUGCAUUCGAAACUGGCAGGCUAGAGUCUUGUAGAGGGGGGUAGAAUUCCAGGUGUAGCGGUGAAAUGCGUAGAGAUCUGGAGGAAUACCGGUGGCGAAGGCGGCCCCCUGGACAAAGACUGACGCUCAGGUGCGAAAGCGUGGGGAGCAAACAGGAUUAGAUACCCUGGUAGUCCACGCCGUAAACGAUGUCGAUUUGGAGGUUGUGCCCUUGAGGCGUGGCUUCCGGAGCUAACGCGUUAAAUCGACCGCCUGGGGAGUACGGCCGCAAGGUUAAAACUCAAAUGAAUUGACGGGGGCCCGCACAAGCGGUGGAGCAUGUGGUUUAAUUCGAUGCAACGCGAAGAACCUUACCUGGUCUUGACAUCCACAGAACUUUCCAGAGAUGGAUUGGUGCCUUCGGGAACUGUGAGACAGGUGCUGCAUGGCUGUCGUCAGCUCGUGUUGUGAAAUGUUGGGUUAAGUCCCGCAACGAGCGCAACCCUUAUCCUUUGUUGCCAGCGGUUAGGCCGGGAACUCAAAGGAGACUGCCAGUGAUAAACUGGAGGAAGGUGGGGAUGACGUCAAGUCAUCAUGGCCCUUACGACCAGGGCUACACACGUGCUACAAUGGCAUAUACAAAGAGAAGCGACCUCGCGAGAGCAAGCGGACCUCAUAAAGUAUGUCGUAGUCCGGAUUGGAGUCUGCAACUCGACUCCAUGAAGUCGGAAUCGCUAGUAAUCGUAGAUCAGAAUGCUACGGUGAAUACGUUCCCGGGCCU